UCAAGCGUUGUUCGGAUUCAUUGGGCGUAAAGGGUGCGUAGGUGGCGUCGUAAGUCAGGUGUGAAAUCUCGGGGCUUAACUCCGAAACUGCAUUUGAUACUGCGGUGCUUGAGGACUGGAGAGGAGACUGGAAUUUACGGUGUAGCAGUGAAAUGCGUAGAGAUCGUAAGGAAGACCAGUGGCGAAGGCGGGUCUCUGGACAGUUCCUGACACUGAGGCACGAAGGCCAGGGGAGCAAACGGG
rnacentral:rRNA from 1 species